CUCUGACAGUCAAAGGACAGCCUUCCUCAGCCACAGUGUCCCUGAAGAUGCAGUGUGGCACACGAAUGAAAAGAACCAAGACACAGUACAUAUUCCUACGAUCCCAGCUAUUCCAAAGGCUAAGAGGAUAACUGCAGUCAGUCUGACAACAUAGAAACAUUUCCAAAAGAGAAGAAAAACUAAGAAUAACUAAUAACAUGAAGAAAAGCAGCAUUGACCUCUAAAGAAAUACUGUUCUUUUCAUAAAACAGCUUAAUAAGUAAAUAUACAUUAUACACUAAGAAAAUCUGAAAAGCAAUGCCUAUUGGUAACCAGGCCUUCCCAUUGCCUGCCCCCAGGGACUGAGCAACAGCAAACAGUAAUUACUAACUGCCACAUGCAUUCCCAUUGUUGCCAGGAGUUCAUGCACUCAUGUAAAAAGCUGGGCUUAGGUGGUGUAUGUAUGCAAUGCUACCACUGAUAGACAAAGACAGAAGGUCUGUGAAAUUCAAUGGCCAAACAGUUCACUGAAAUAAGCAAAUGUCAGGUUUAGUGAGAAACUCUGCCUCAAAACCUACGGUGGAAAGUGGUUGAGAAGAUAUCCAGCAUCCACCUCUGUCUUUUACACAUGCUUGAAGAGGCAAACAUGCAGGCAUGUACAUAUCUGUGAGCGUGCACGCACAUACACACACCCCACAUAUACACAAAACAAAUUUCAAGAACUCAAUAUACAUUAUUUUCAAUUAAAUAAUAUCAUACAAUAGUGAAGUAAAGCUUUAAAUGAGUACAAUGGAAAACAGUUUAAACUUCCUUUGAAUAAGAUGUCCACCAGCCAUUUCUAAGGAAAAAAACAGCAAAAUUACCUUCAUGAACUGUAAUGCCACAAUUGUCACACUGGAUUAUUUCAUCUGCAUCUUCACUAUUAUCUCCAAGACAAACACAGCAAAUCAGAAUGUGGUCCAUUUUCUGAGAACUCCAGUUUUGACUCUUUUCAAGAAUCAGCGAGUCCUAAUAAAAUAAAUGAGAAAAAUCACACUUUAAUUAAAAAGUAAUUUACUACAUACAA